rnacentral:rRNA from 1 species
CCUACGGGAGGCAGCAGUAGGGAAUAUUGCUCAAUGGGGGAAACCCUGAAGCAGCAACGCCGCGUGGAGGAUGAAGGUUUUCUGAUUGUAAACUCCUUUUGUUAGAGAAGAUAAUCACGGUACCUAUCGACUAACUACCGGUUAAUUCCGUGCCAGCAGCCGCGGUAAUACGGGGGGUGCAAGCGUUACUCGGAAUCACUGGGCGUAAAGAGCGCGUAGGCGGGAUAGCAAGUCAGGUGUGAAAUCCUAUGGCUUAACCAUAGAACUGCAUUUGAAACUGUUAUUCUAGAGUGUGGGAGAGGUAGGUGGAAUUCUUGGUGUAGGGGUAAAAUCCGUAGAGAUCAAGAGGAAUACUCAUUGCGAAGGCGACCUGCUGGAACAUAACUGACGCUGAUGCGCGAAAGCGUGGGGAGCAAACAGGAUUAGAUACCCGAGUAGUC